rnacentral:rRNA from 1 species
UGGAUUCUGAGACACGAAUCCAGGCCCUACGGGGCGCAGCAGGCGCGAAAACUUUACAAUGCGGGCAACCGUGAUAAGGGAACCUCGAGUGCCUGUACAUGCAGGCUGUUCGGGUGUCUAAAACACACCUGAAGAAAGGGCCGGGCAAGACCGGUGCCAGCCGCCGCGGUAAUACCGGCGGCUCGAGUGGUGGCCACUAUUACUGGGCUUAAAGCGUCCGUAGCUUGGUUGUUAAGUCUCCUGGGAAAUCCAUCGGCUCAACCGAUGGGCGUUCAGGAGAUACUGGCAACCUAGGGACCGGGAGAGGUGAGAGGUACUCCAGGGGUAGGAGUGAAAUCCUGUAAUCCUUGGGGGACCACCUGUGGCGAAGGCGUCUCACUAGAACGGCUCCGACAGUGAGGGACGAAAGCUGGGGGAGCAAACCGGAUUAGAUACCCGGGUAGUCCCAGCUGUAAACGAUGCGCGUUAGGUGUAUCGGUGACCACGAGUCACCGAGGUGCCGAAGGGAAACCGUGAAACGUGCCGCCUGGGAAGUACGGUCGCAAGGCUGAAACUUAAAGGAAUUGGCGGGGGAGCACCACAACGGGUGGAGCCUGCGGUUUAAUCGGACUCAACGCCGGGAAACUCACCGGAUAAGACAGCUGGAUGAUAGUCGGGCUGAAGACUCUACUUGACUAGCUGAGAGGAGGUGCAUGGCCGUCGUCAGUUCGUACUGUGAAGCAUCCUGUUAAGUCAGGCAACGAGCGAGACCCACGCCAACAGUUGCCAGCAUGGUCUCCGGACUGAUGGGGACACUGUUGGGACCGCCUCUGCUAAAGAGGAGGAAGGAAUGGGCAACGGUAGGUCAGCAUGCCCCGAAUUAUCCGGGCUACACGCGGGCUACAAUGGGCAGGACAAUGGGUAUCGACACCGAAAGGUGAAGGCAAUCUCCUAAACCUGUCCUUAGUUCGGAUUGUGGGCUGUAACUCGCCCACAUGAAGCUGGAAUCCGUAGUAAUCGCGUUUCAAAAUAACGCGGUGAAUGUGUCCCUGCUCCUUGCACACACCGCCCGUCAAACCACCCGAGUGGGGUUUGGAUGAGGCUGCGGUCGUUGCCGUAGUCGAAUCUAGGUUCCGCAAGGGGGGUUAAGUCGUAACAAGGUAGCCGUAGGGGAAUCUGCGGCUG